rnacentral:misc_RNA from 1 species
GUAGCAAAUUUUAAAAGUCCUCAUCCAAAGGAAGCUCGAUUUGGAAUCCAAACGUUAAGUACGUUACAUCACAUCCAGCGACCGUAGCACAUCCACCGCAACGUAACCGCAGUGUCUGAAGAUCAUCUCGAAGCCCAAAGCAGCGAUGCGAUAUCGUCGCAGUGAAAGGUUGGUCCACGUAACAAUCGCGUGGCGCUUUCGAAAAUUACGUCACCUGAGACAAGAGAGCCGAGCGUUCGAUUUGGCCGUAUAACAACAAGGAUCCGAGGGAUCGGUUGGUCAAUCCCGGUGGAGUCGUCGAUCGCUCUGCUUUUCCUACGGGCCCUCGUUCGCGAAACGGCUCGGUCGAAAUCCAGUGAAAGUUCACGUUAAUUGGCUUGUCCAGAGGUGCUCAACGCUGCCUCGGCACCGAGGAAACAGGCCGUGGACGAACUGGCAUCUCCUACCAUCGAGAGUUUUGCUCGUGUGCAUAACGCGGAGUUUCCCCUCCAGCCAGACCACUGUCACUUUCGAACCGGCAGUCCGGCACAAAGGAGAACAGUAUCCAUGAAAAUGGCUCAUGGUACCAGUUGAGCCAAACAUCCUACGAAACCAUUGUCUCCUUCGUGAAGAGUCGCCCCGGUUUAGAUCGUUAUUCCGAAGUGCUUCGACGAGAACCUCUCGACGAGUUUCGAGAGAAACGCGAACUACUUCUGAUGGAUCUUCACAGUUUCUAGAAGUUUUUCCGAGGAAGCCAGGAAGUCAGAAAGAGAAGAAACAGAUACCAGUGGAUGAAAAUCGCUGUUCCUGUUGUCUGAGACCAUUUUUGCUAGAACGUGGAGUCCGUUGCAGCGAUUGCGGUGGAAGAUCCUGCAGGAAAGGCUGUUCUCGUUGGGACACGUCGGAUAACGCGUGGCAUUGUCUAUUUUGCCAUCAACAAAGAUACUGGCUGAGGAAGAACGGACUCGAGGAUUACCGUGGAUCGAUCGCGGCUGAUCUGCGACGAUACUUCAGUACGGCAAAAUCACAAGUUUACGCGACAGGAGUGGAAAAUGCAGCUACCAGUUCGGGAUCGUGUUUGCCCGGGGAGAAAGAAGAGGCGAACACGAUGGAAACCAUUCGUGAUCUCGUUGAGAAGAUAGUCGAAGGAUUGAUCGGUAGCGUCGAGGAUAUACCGAUCGAUCGCCUCUACGAUCAUCCGGAAUAUGACAAGCUUUUGGGAAAGUAUCUUGUACCCUUGGUCCAUGCUCUAACCCGACUGGCUACGGCUCUGGAACUGUCUCUAAAAAACAAACCAGGCACGGAUUCCCCUGCGAUGGCGCACACCGCCCUCCGCGAGAUCGUGGAACGGGCGGUCGACGAGGCCCGGAAGUUACCCAGCCUGGGAGGUUCCGGAGAACCCGGAAGACCGCCGGAAGGAAGGGCCGACAGCUACGAGGACCUGCUAGCUACCGCGAUACUGAACAAGGUCAUCGAGAAAUUCCAAAAGGAACAGGUGGACGGUAAUAGCAACGUUCUCCACGGGAAACCGGUGGCCGCGGGCAACUGUGCAUCGAACGAGCCUGGCCUUGACGAGGGCGUCGAAGGAUGCAGCAGCCUGGAACCAAUGUCGCACGAAGACUACGCCGAUUACACCGUUGCGUGUUUGAGACGCAAGAGUCAGAUGGAACCUACUGUGUCCCUUAUGAUAGAGGAGCGAAUAGAAGAAGUAACGACGACUUAUGCGUCGGACGAGGAACCCAAAGAAAAUGAUGCCUUGGCUAUUAGGAACGCUCACCGAGUGCCAUUUCCUGAACUUGGAAUGGACAUUAUCGACCCAUCGCAGGAGUCGUCAGAGGAUAGCCAGGACGAGCCAGGCACCCCAACCGCGCACAUCGGCCUGGUCUCUCCAGUGGAAUCCUGGGAAGAAAAUUGGUUGUUCCAGAAGAAAAGGGUGCAAACCCAGGCUGACCCAGUGGCCAUGUUGGUGCCAAAUCCCAGCGCCGAUUUCAAGGCUCUGAUAGGCGAUAAAGACGCCGAGGACACGUCCGACCUCUCUGAAUGUUCCUCGGCUCAAUCCGACGAGGAGAUCGAGAAGGAGCUUAUGGAGGCUAUAAACAACGUCGUGCCGCGAUCUCCGAAGAGAACCAGCUUCCAAAAUGGCGACCGGGAGUCGAGUGAUUCUAAGGAAAAGCAUGCGGAUGUUCCUGAAGACAAUGAUUUAGAGUGGAACGAAGAGAAUCAGGUGCUAAAGGUGGAAAUGAAUGGAAACGAAGCCAAAGAUGAGAACAAGGUGAACGAAGUGGAGGUAGAGAAGGUUGAGUCGAGGAAAAUGGAGAGUGAACGGACUAACGAGGAACUUAAAGACAAAUCAACGAAUGGUAAAUUGAUAGAAGAUAUUGAAGAGAAAUCAACGAAUGAUCCAUUGAUAGAAGAUGUAAAAGACAAAUCGACGAAUGGUCAAAUGAUAGAAGAUAUUAAAAUUAAUACGGUGAAGAAUGUGGAUCUUCUGGUAAAUUCUCAGGAAGAAAAUUUGUCGGUGCCGAAGACACCGACCUCUACGCCAACGUGGACUUUUGUACCGGAAAACAAUUUUGAAAAUAUUAGGGGGGAGGAGAUUUUGAGAGAAGAGGUUCUUAAUUCGCUGGAAUGCGCUAAGAAGAAGCUGAUGGCUGUUAAUGAUGACGAACCGUUUAAGGAGACGUCUGGACAAAAAGCGGACUUUCAUGCAGAAGAUAUUCAGCAAGAAAGUGAGUACACUGAACACUACGACACCGCGACCCAAAGGCAUCUGGACAGCUUGACAAAGCUAGAGGGUUCGGAAUCGAAAAAUUCCUCGGAGGAGAAUGCAGAGAGCAGGUGCCGAGAAGCUGCGGCGCUCGCCAAAGCUGAUUCGGCUUCGUCCCUGAAGAGCAAGAAAUCGGAAGAGGAGGUUCGGCUGGCUGCACCUCCAAGACCAGGUACGAUCGCUGAACGAGAGCACAAGAAAUGGGAGAACGCUCCUCCGAUUCAGAACAACCCCUACAGCGAGGAGAACAUCCAGAAGAGGUUGCUGGAGAGACAGUAUUCUAGGAGGGCAUCAGACAUUCCUGGAAUUCACGCCGAAUUGCCGAAGAGCAACGGGGAGGAUUUGGAUGUCGUGCUGACUCCUCAUGAACCGGAUAUCAAGCGGUUCGGCAGGGACUACUACAUCAACCACUCGAGAGCCUUAAGCAACGAGAAAGGACGAAGAUCGGCCGCGUCGACCUCGAGCAGACCCAGCAGCUCAUUAUCCCAAGGAUCGAGCUCAACCGGGCCCGACCAGGAUCAACAGGAGGAGACGCGAUAUCGUGAAACCGAGGCUCUGCUGAAUCGCAGCAACGACGUCAAGUCGAAAGUAGCCAAAUGGCAGAACAACAUCGCGGAGAACAAAUACCAAACGGUUCGAUCAGCGGACGAGGAGAGACCGAACUCGAGGAAGAUGGAGCUGCAGAGGACGUGGGAGGACCAGCGAAUGGAGGAGAUUCUGGAGAACGAGAGGAAGAAUAACAAGAACGAGAUCAACGCGAAGCUGAACAAUCAAGAGAACAGCGCCGUCGAGAAGAAGUCAAACUCCGACGAGAACCCGCGGAAGAUCAAGAGGAUCGAUCUGAAAGCUUACGGAUUCGAGAACGAGUUCUCCAAUGGCGGCAAAGUAACCAAGACACCGAGGGUCGUGAAUAAACUGGACUUGAAGAGGUUCGGCUACGACGGCGGUAUUCGACGAACGCAGUCCAAUAUUCAAUUAAACAGCAUCGGCAACGACGACUUCAAACCCAGAAUCGUACACGCAAGGAACAAAUCCAAUCUGACGCGCCAUUACGGAAACGAUCGCUGCCUGAUCGAGACGCAAGCUUCCGGCGAUAAUAAUCUGACGCAGAGUACCGAGAACUUGAACAGGUUUCAAGAGAGUUACAACGGGUUCGGUUUAAAGUCCGCGAAAUCGGUGCCUAAUAUCGCUAAGUUUUACUCGAACACGAUCGAUCAUGAAGACGACGAGAAUUUCAGUCAGAGUUCGUACGAUUUGGGGAUCGUCAAGAACGGCUCGGUUAAGAAUAUUGCGAAUAAUUAUAAUCCAGAGAAGUGCAACAUCAAUUCGGUCGACGAGUCAGAAAAUGACACGGAUUCGGAGAAGGAACGCUCGAAGAAGGUUAUCAAUCAGGAGGAGGACAGCAAGCUACCUAUGCCUUCGGUUAGGAGACUCGCUGAGGCGUUCAGCAAGCAGUCCGAAAACGCUCCGGCUAUUUCCAAGGCAAACAAGAGCAACGUGUACAAAGAACGAUCGUCGACACCGGAGAUACAGAUAGUCGAAUCUCCCCGACAAAUGCACAGUUUAACAGCCAGAUCGUUGUCGAAACAAUUUCGAGAGGGUCUCCGACAAAUUCCGAACAAAGUCACUUCGCCUCCGGCUAGCCACGUCACCAUGGAACAAAGCAAAAUGGCGGAGAACCAAACGGAAGUGGUGCAAGCGAAGAACGACUCGUCGAACGACGUGAACGUGAUUUUGCCUGGGAAAUUAAAAUCGAAUAUUAUAUUCUGGGAACAGAUGCAAAGGAGGAGCUAGAAUGCAUAUUUCGAAUCGUGUUGUAUUCUCCGGAAGUUGAGGAACGUGAGACGAAUUUAAACGAGAACCAUGUGUUCGAUGAUCUUUCAUCGAUUUGCAUGGUGAAAAUUAAUCUCGCGUUUAUUCUUUUCGAAGACUUACAGGUCAGGAAAGGGUCAAGGACCAAGAUCAAACUGCCACGAUUAUUAAAAAAAAUGCUCAACGUUUUAUUCAAAC